GAACACAAUAUUUCUCAAUUAUUUCCAUAUCUUGACAUUCUCCUUCAUGUAGUGCUAUUUUAGAAAGAAAUAAAAAUACAUAGUCUUUCUCUCUGAAAAGUCACUCAUGUUCUACAUCGAUAAGUGUCAUGUUCCAUCAUGAAACAUGAAAACAGCAACACUCCCAGUAAAUAAUUGAAUCUGCCUUUCAUCAUCAAGGAUUGCGUCAAGAAAUUCUAAACCACCUCAACAAGAAAAGCAUGCAGAUGUUCCAUCAAUCAUGUUGCCAAUUAUCACAUCCCCAAUAUCCACAAAUGAACGAAGCAUAUGACCGCACGUAUGCCACCACCACCUCUACACGCCUUCCCUACCGCUUUUGCUUGGGAGGAGGACAACGGAUUCCUUCCUUAGCUGUCGAAAGACAUCAACCCUUCCAUGUUUCGUGCAUUCCCCGAUUGCUUCCCUUGAAACAGCCGUCUCGGUCUGAUGUGGAUAUGGGUAUAUUCGUCUUAAAUAUUCUCCCAGGCAUCGGGCGAUGACGCAUCGUCCACGUUCAUCCGAUCUCGACCGUCCAAUGCUGUACCGCUCAAUCGAACGGCCCGAGUCGAGCGAGCUCGCGUGGCCGGAACGCGAUGGCCAAUGCCGCGGCGUGCACGGGCGGAGAUCGCCACGAGCCCUUGGCGCGAAGCAUCUUCAUUAGUCCACUUGUAAGACACGUCAUAUUCCACCAAUCAAAAUAGGGAACGUGGAAGGCAAACCUCCUUAUAUAGGGCAAGACGAGGCGCCCCCGGCCGACGUGCAGAACCUUCUUCCCCCGCACCCC
rnacentral:lncRNA from 1 species